rnacentral:rRNA from 1 species
GGUUAAGCAAUUAAUCUAGAUGAAUUGAGAACUAGCAAAUUAACUGAAUCAAGCGUUUUGGUAUGUGAAUUUAGAUUGAAGCUGUACGGUGCUUAAGUGCACAGUGCUCUAAACUGAAAUGUUGAAGUUACUAACUUGUAGGUAANNNNNNNNNNNNNNNNNNNNNNNNNNNNNNNNNNNNNNNNNNNNNNNNNNNNNNNNNNNNNNNNNNNNNNNNNNNNNNNNNNNNNNNNNNNNNNGCGAGGUUAACCGUAUAGGGGAGCCGUAGAGAAAUCGAGUCUUAAUAGGGCGUUUAGUUGCUGGGUAUAGACCCGAAACCAGGCGAUCUAUCCAUGAGCAGGUUGAAGGUUGGGUAACACUAACUGGAGGACCGAACCCACUGUCGUUGAAAAGCCAGGGGAUGACUUGUGGAUAGGGGUGAAAGGCUAAUCAAGCCUGGUGAUAGCUGGUUCUCCCCGAAAGCUAUUUAGGUAGCGCCUCGGACGAAUACCAUAGGGGGUAGAGCACUGUUUCGGCUAGGGGGUCAUCCCGACUUACCAAACCGAUGCAAACUCCGAAUACCUAUGAGUACUAUCCGGGAGACAGACUGCGGGUGCUAACGUCCGUAGUCAAGAGGAAAACAAUCCAGACCGCCAGCUAAGGCCCCAAAAUCAUAGUUAAGUGGGAAACGAUGUGGGAAGGCAUAGACAGCUAGGAGGUUGGCUUAGAAGCAGCCACCCUUUAAAGAAAGCGUAAUAGCUCACUAGUCGAGUCGGCCUGCGCGGAAGAUGUAACGGGGCUAAAACUAUGUGCCGAAGCUGCGGAUGUAUACUUUGUAUACGUGGUAGGGGAGCGUUCUGUAAGCCGAUGAAGGUGUGUUGAGAAGCAUGCUGGAGGUAUCAGAAGUGCGAAUGCUGACGUGAGUAACGACAAAACGGGUGAAAAACCCGUUCGCCGAAAGACCAAGGGUUCCAGUCCAACGUUAAUCGGGGCUGGGUGAGUCGACCCCUAAGGCGAGGCCGAAAGGCGUAGUCGAUGGGAAAAUGGUUAAUAUUCCAUUACUUCUGUGUAAUGCGAUGAGAGGACGGAGAAGGCUAAAUCAGCCUGGCGUUGGUUGUCCAGGUGAAAGGAUGUAGGCAUGUAUCUUAGGCAAAUCCGGGGUACUCUAUGCUGAGAUCUGAUAGCAAGCUGUACUUGUACAGCGAAGUGGUUGAUGCCAUGCUUCCAGGAAAAGUCUCUAAGCUUCAGUUACACAGGAAUCGUACCCGAAACCGACACAGGUGGUCAGGUCGAGUAGACCAAGGCGCUUGAGAGAACUCUGCUGAAGGAACUAGGCAAAAUGGUACCGUAACUUCGGGAGAAGGUACGCUGUUGUUGGUGAUGGAACUCGCUUCCUGAGCUGACGACAGCCGCAGAAACCAGGCCGCUGCAACUGUUUAUUAAAAACAUAGCACUCUGCAAACACGAAAGUGGACGUAUAGGGUGUGAUGCCUGCCCGGUGCUGGAAGGUUAAUUGAUGGGGUUAGCGUAAGCGAAGCUCUUGAUCGAAGCCCCAGUAAACGGCGGCCGUAACUAUAACGGUCCUAAGGUAGCGAAAUUCCUUGUCGGGUAAGUUCCGACCUGCACGAAUGGCAUAAUGAUGGCGGCGCUGUCUCCAGCAGAGGCUCAGUGAAAUCGAAAUCGCUGUGAAGAUGCAGUGUACCCGCGGCUAGACGGAAAGACCCCGUGAACCUUUACUGCAGCUUGACACUGAACUUUGACCUUACUUGUGUAGGAUAGGUGGGAGGCUUUGAAGCUGGAACGCUAGUUCCAGUGGAGCCGUCCUUGAAAUACCACCCUGGUAAUGUUGAGGUUCUAACUCUGUCCCGUGAUCCGGGACGAGGACCGUGUCUGGUGGGUAGUUUGACUGGGGCGGUCUCCUCCUAAAGAGUAACGGAGGAGUACGAAGGUGCGCUCAGCGUGGUCGGAAAUCACGCGUAGAGUAUAAAGGCAAAAGCGCGCUUAACUGCGAGACCCACAAGUCGAGCAGGUACGAAAGUAGGUCUUAGUGAUCCGGUGGUUCUGUAUGGAAGGGCCAUCGCUCAACGGAUAAAAGGUACUCUGGGGAUAACAGGCUGAUACCGCCCAAGAGUUCAUAUCGACGGCGGUGUUUGGCACCUCGAUGUCGGCUCAUCUCAUCCUGGGGCUGAAGCAGGUCCCAAGGGUAUGGCUGUUCGCCAUUUAAAGAGGUACGCGAGCUGGGUUUAGAACGUCGUGAGACAGUUCGGUCCCUAUCUACCGUGGGCGCUGGAAAUUUGAGAGGAUCUGCUCCUAGUACGAGAGGACCAGAGUGGACGAACCUCUGGUGUACCGGUUGUGACGCCAGUCGCAUCGCCGGGUAGCUAUGUUCGGAAGGGAUAACCGCUGAAAGCAUCUAAGCGGGAAGCCUACCUCAAGAUAAGAUUUCCCUAGGACUUUAUGUCCUCUAAAGAGCCGUUCGAGACUAGGACGUUGAUAGGUUGGAUGUGGAAGCAUAGUGAUAUGUGAAGCUGACCAAUACUAAUUGCUCGUGAGGCUUGACUAU